rnacentral:tRNA from 18 species
AAGGCUUUAGCUUAAUUAAAGUGUCUGUUUUGCAUGCAGAAGAUGUGGGUUAGUGUCCCGCAAGUCUUA